CUGGCCAUGCCCAGUGGUGAUAUAAAAUCUCACUGGGGCCUCCAAAUGUUAUACCCGAGUGAGUAAAGGAAUGCGCCACACUCUGAGAUUUGAGUUGCGAGUCCUUUAUUGC
rnacentral:pre_miRNA from 13 species